GUGGGGAAUAUUGGACAAUGGGCGAAAGCCUGAUCCAGCCAUGCCGCGUGUGUGAAGAAGGUCUUCGGAUUGUAAAGCACUUUAAGUUGGGAGGAAGGGCAGUAAGUUAAUACCUUGCUGUUUUGACGUUACCGACAGAAUAAGCACCGGCUAACUUCGUGCCAGCAGCCGCGGUAAUACGAAGGGUGCAAGCGUUAAUCGGAAUUACUGGGCGUAAAGCGCGCGUAGGUGGUUUUGUAAGUUGGAGGUGAAAUCCCCGGGCUCAACCUGAGAACUGCCUCCAAAACUUCAUGACUAGAGUACGGUAGAGGGUAGUGGAAUUUCCUGUGUAACGGUGAAAUGCGUAGAUAUAGGAAGGAACACCAGUGGCGAAGACGACUACCUGGACUGAUACUGACACUGAGGUGCGAAAGCGUGGGGAGCAAACAGGAUUAGAUACCCCGGUAGUCC
rnacentral:rRNA from 1 species